rnacentral:rRNA from 1 species
AACGAACGCUGGCGGCAUGCCUAACACAUGCGAGUCGAACGAUCCCUUCGGGGAUAGUGGCGCACGGGUGCGUAACGCGUGGGAACCUGCCCUUAGGUUCGGAAUAACUCAGAGAAAUUUGAGCUAAUACCGGAUAAUGUCUUCGGACCAAAGAUUUAUCGCCUUUGGAUGGGCCCGCGUUGGAUUAGCUAGUUGGUGGGGUAAAGGCCUACCAAGGCGACGAUCCAUAGCUGGUCUGAGAGGAUGAUCAGCCACACUGGGACUGAGACACGGCCCAGACUCCUACGGGAGGCAGCAGUGGGGAAUAUUGGACAAUGGGCGAAAGCCUGAUCCAGCAAUGCCGCGUGAGUGAUUAAGGCCUUAGGGUUGUAAAGCUCUUUUACCCGGGAUGAUAAUGACAGUACCGGGAGAAUAAGCCCCGGCUAACUCCGUG